UUCUACACAUUGGAUAAGUCUGAUUCAUAACAUCAACUUCACUGCUAGGCUUACAUCAGCUUAUCAAAUGUAAUUCACAUGAACAUAAUAUUCGUUACAAAUGGUGUUCAAAUAGUUCUUUCUUUAACUGAAACCAGCUGUCAAAACAUUACAAUCUCAUAUGUGAUAUGAUUGUAAUUGAACUAAUUUUGCACACGAAUUUGCGCUACUGUUUUUUUCCAAAUGUAUUUCAUAACUGGUGACACAUGACUGAUGAAAAAUAAUCGUCAAACGAUUUUCGCAAAGUUUUUCAUCAUGGCGGAGAAUUAUCAGAAGCAGCUUUCUCGUUUUUACGGUGAAGUGCGUAAGGAUGACGAUUUGCUACGGCCUCCAUAACCAGUUGAAGGCUGGCGACUCCAUGGGAGGCUGCGCAACAGAUGCCAUUUUGCGAUUGAAGACCAGAAGCAAUUGGUCCAGGAGCAGGUCCAUCGGAGAAGUGUUUCAUUGGGGGUAGAGUAAGUAACGUAUAAAAUAUUUAACUAUAACAAAUAAAAAUGCCAUUACAAUAAUUCCGAGUUUUAAUAAUUAUUCAUACAUAGCAUUGAAUUCACCUAAAUAGUGAAGUGCUCAUAUUUCGCGCGAGCUCCAUUUUGCUAUCACGAUUUAUUUUUCAAAAGGCAAAACUAAUAUCGUGAUAGUUAAACCACAGACAAACAGACGUCUCACUCUACUUGCUCCUCAUCGUUAGCCUUUUUAACGGUAGGUUCAAAUAUUUUGUAGUUCGCAAAUCACUCGGUCACGGCGCGCGCAUUGUUUUCGCUCCUGCUUGACGUUCGCUCACUACCGCCACCUAUUGAGCGGUUUGCGUAUCACAGCUUAAUUGGCAUUAAGCGAUUAUGUUUUCGUGACGAUGAUUUUUAUCGAAAUUUGUUCCAAGUGAUAAGUCUGUUUGUCUGUGGUUGAACUAUGCACACUAUUUUUAUUUCGCUGGAAACCAGCAAAAUUUUGCUGGUUUUUGACAUGCUGUGGAUUCAGCAAUCCAUCCAGCAAUAAUUACUUUGCUGGCUAUCCAGUAAUGCGAUUUUUUUGCUGGUUCACCAGUAAUUUUGUCCGCGCUCGAUUCCGGCCGGAUUUUUUGUUUUUUUUUUUUUCUUUUCGACGAAAAAACAAAGUUCAAUAAUGAAUAUUAAACCCACCAAAUUUAGCUCCAAAGCAGCGCUACAAUGCUAGGAAUGUCCAUCGUGGACGUGGCGCAUUACAUUUGAUGCUGCCGAGUACCUUUUUGGGUGGAAUUUUCAUUGAUUCCUGUUAGCUCGCGUUGAUGUGAGGAGACGUGCAAAAGUAUUUUUGGAAAAUUGUAAGUGUUUGACAAGUGUUUAACUGAUUAUCCAGCAAUUUACGUGUUUGCUGAUUUUUCAGUUACCAUUACUGAUUGUUAAGUAAAAUUUAAUUUGCUGAUGUGGUUCCAGCAAUACGUUUUGCUGGAUGAGAAAUUCAAAAUUUGGUGUGUAGAGGUGGCGAUAGUGUUCGGCUAUUUUUCAUCAUGGCGUCGCGGACAACAAAUUUGAAUUUAUUUGUUCUAGCUGUCACGUCGGUUCGUCGGUGCUAUGAGCUCGCAUGAAAUUGGGGCACUUUACAUUGUGAUUUUGCCUGAAGGACUACAUGAGUAGUAUAACAAGAAAUCCAUAUGCACCAAACAUGAAAUUUAUGUUCAGCUUAAUAUGAGAUUGAUGUAUUCACAAGUCGAAUUCAACAUGAUCAAACGUGAAUAUUCAUUGCCCGCAUAGAAAAAAACAGUAUGAUAUACACUUCCAACAAUAAAUUUGCUCCAAACGGUAAGGUUGAUGUAUCACAAACUGUUGCUAUUAUGUUCAACCAUUUGAAUUCCAAAGCUAUCCACCAUAAAUUACAGUAUUGAUAACCCAAACCAAACAUUAACAGUAUAACAUAAUGUGCUGACAUUGUUAAACGAUAAUAAGAUGCACACACGGAUCGCAUGGUAGAAUUGUGGGAUCACAUUAUAUCAAAUGGUAAGUUUUUAUAUUUCCUCGACACACUCACACCAGUAUAUUUCACUAUUAAUAACAUUUGUUAAACAGCAUGGCAAUUAAUUUAACGUAUUUGGAUCUGUGAACGAUUUUAUUCAAAUAUAAAAUGCAUCUUUGCAAGCUUCAAUGAGCUUCUUCAUUUCUCGAGUAAUAUUUCAUACAGACUUAUCUCAAGAACGAUAAUUUUGAGGAAAUGCAUAUAUGAUACGAUUGUAUUUUCUUGGCUUUUUAUUAAACUUAGAUUUCGAUUGGCUGUUUUUGUACAUUAUUUAUAUGGAAUGCGUUGAAAUCAGGGUUGAAAUUUGCAUAAAUUCAUAAAUGAAUGCAUAAAUGGAACAUUUCAAACAAUCAGAUAAUCAUGACUUACGCGAUUAUUUACGCUGUUUAGUGAAUACCCCCAUUAUGUUUUCAACGACCUGGCCUGUUUGUAUAUAGUACCGUGUAAGAGGAUCACCAAUAAACUACGUUGCGCUUAGAAGGGGGAGGAGGGGUAAUUUUAGAAGUGUGACAAGCAAGGCAAGGGGGAAGGGGGUUUGGAAAUUAUAUUUUUUCAACGUGACGUAUCUAAUGGAUGCUCCUUCAUGUGAAUCAAAACAGAAAAAAAACCUUUUUUUUAGAACUAAAAAUUAAAUCAAGUUUUGAUUACAUAUCGAGCUUAGGACAUUUUCAAAUGUAACGCUUGUUUAUCGCGGAGUGUGAGCGUUGGACAAAAACAGUAACAAAGUGUCACCGUCAUCGCGGGAAAUCCUUGCUGAAACCGGUGAAACCCGACUUCCAGUGACCCGGGCCAAUGGGCCCAAUUGAGAUAAACCAGCCUCGGACCGAAGGACCGGGACAACUGGGAUGCCAGAAGAUACACAAAACGUCGGCUAGAUGGAAAUUUCGUGCAAACAACUGCUGGAGGCGAAUCCCUGAACUGCUCUAUCCGGGAACCGAGUCGGGACCUUCCGUUGCAUCAAUCUAUGUAUCAGAAAUGACAGCAGCAGGAAGCCCCAGCGGCAGCUGGAUCCAAAGCAGGCUCUGUUUGCGGGAGACGGCUCGGAUACCACCUGAAUGACUAGCCAUCUUACGGAUCGAUUCAUUAUACAGUCCGUGUGCGGCCAUGUCAUCACAUCCAAGGCCCAGCGGGAUUCCGGAAGCCGUGUUGUUUUUAUUUAUUUUAAGUUUUCGCUACUUUGUUCCUGUUCAAUAAAAUAUACAAAACUCAUACUCAAA